rnacentral:rRNA from 1 species
UACGUAGGGGGCAAGCGUUGUCCGGAAUCAUUGGGCGUAAAGAGCGUGUAGGCGGUUUGUCGCGUCUGCUGUGAAAUUUCGGGGCUCAACCCCGAACUUGCAGUGGGUACGGGCAGACUAGAGUGUGGUAGGGGAGACUGGAAUUCCUGGUGUAGCGGUGAAAUGCGCAGAUAUCAGGAGGAACACCGAUGGCGAAGGCAGGUCUCUGGGCCACUACUGACGCUGAGAAGCGAAAGCAUGGGGAGCGAACAGG